ensembl:lncRNA
CCGGUUACCUUGGCGACCACCACCUUUUCCGAGCCCAGCCCCUCUCUGAAGGCGGCGUGCUGCCAAAUGAGGAGACAGGUCUGCAGCUGCUCGGGCAUCGCCAUCCCAGCCCUGCACUUUCUGUCCCGUUGCCCCUUCUGGCCCUCAUUCCGAAGAGCCACCCUGAACAUGUGGUCCUGAUUUACAACUAAGCAAAUUGAAGACGGGGAUUGGGCUUAGACUAGCCCACCUAGCAGGUUUGAAAUCAAAGAGACCAUCCUUCCUUGAGGUGGCCAGGAAGAGGGACAGAACCACGUGAGGAGGUGUUCUGAACAGGGGACAGAAGGACUAUGGGUCUGAAAUUGGUGUCUCAUGGAGGAAGGAGGCCCAGUGACUCAGUGUCUGCCUGAAGCCCACAGUGGGAGCAGCAAGACUCUGGAGACGUGCCACAGUUACUGUGAGCAGAGGCUGUACUUCCAGCUGGGGAUACACAGAAAACAAGCCUGACAUUCCACCCUCAUGGAGCAGUUGGAAAACCAGGGCACAGAGGAUGGCCAGGGCUCCUUAGCCCAGAGUGAACAUGCUGCACCAGG